rnacentral:antisense_RNA from 1 species
AGAUCACCAUUGUCCUCAAUGACACAAUUUUUGUAUGGCGUACCUUACCUGUAAUUCUAUUUCCUAUGGGAGGAUUUAAGAGAUAUCUUAGGAACACUAUUUAAAGGGAUUUACUGAAGUGCCAACCUUGUGAAUGAUUUUACCUCAAAUUGUUCAGUGGUAAGAAAGGUAAUAAAGCAUUUAGUUUGGCCUUUAAAUAGGCUAAUUUUUUUUGUUUUGUUUUGAGACAGAGUCUUGCUCUGUCGCCAGGCUAAUUUUUUAAACAUGCAUUUUUAAUUACCAGAAUUUACCUGAUAAAACUACGCUUUGCCAAGGUUGUAAGACUUCUGAAAAGACAGAACUAGCUUUGUUGCGUUUCACGAAGGACAGAUCAGUUCGUCUGUAUAGGCUAUAAGCAGGUAAGUAGUGCACUCUAUUGGUGAAGGAUUUCUGUUGUUUUGGAAAGCCAUCUAUAGCUGGCUGCAUGGAGGGAAAUCCAAAAUCCAGAUGACGUGGCGUGAGUCAAUGAGAUGAGAAACACUGGUAUU